CUUCCUAGGGCCAACCACCGCUAGGACUCAAAGGAGAAAGGGGCUUGUUUGCAGUCGGUCACCUAGACGCUGUGGGUAGCACCUUGCUGGCGUCAUUCGCACAUUUGAAACCCUAAAGCACGUCGCCCCCCACACACCUAGCUCCUCACUCAAGGAUGCUGAGCACCCCAGGCCACCGCCUCUGAGACGACCCCAACUUCCCCUUCAGGGCGUCGCUCUAGGGCUCCGUUUCGCUGACGGCUGCUGCUCGGUGAACGUCCUUCGCCUCCCGAGACUCCGGCUCCUUCCCCGCUCCUACAGGGGCAGCGAGAAGAUGGGGCCAGUCGCCUUUGUCACCCUCUGCCUCCUCGGCUGCCUGGUCUGCAGCCCCGCGCUGGCAGG